ensembl:lncRNA
GCCAACCUUCCGCAAGGUGGACCAGGUCCCGUGGACUCAUCCUUGCCCCAAAGUGUCUGACUGACCAUCUAGGGUGGUGUUGCAGCUGGAGACAGGCCUUGCUGAGCAGAAGCCCACCUGUGGCCCCCACCCACCACCAUGGACACUCUCUUCACGUACCCAUUGCCCACACCAAGGUCGUGAUAGCAGGCGAGCUGACUGUUCUGUCUGCUUGGAUGUUCAGGUGAUGUUCUUAAUGGGCAUUGACAUGUGAUCAGUGGUCUUCAUGCUAUGUGCCAACUCCCAGAGGACCAUCUGCUUGCCUCUCCGACCCCUGUGUCUGUGACCUCCCAGCUGCGCUCCUGCCACGCUCAUUGCUGACCAGUGGAACCCUUUGUCACUUCCCAUAAUCUUUUUCCACAAAUGAUUCUGGAACCAUUGGGAUCACUAUGCAAAACUAAAGCCAUACCUCACACCACAUAAAAAAGUUAAUUCAGAAUGGAUCAUAGAAAUGUAAAGUGUUUACAUUUUCCUCAAACUUCUAGAGGAAAAAAAUAGAAAAAUGUUAACUUUGGGGGCAGCUCGGCAAAGCUUUCUUAGAUAACAAACCACAGCAAGCAGGAUUUGCAGAACAAAAGUUCAGAACCUGAACUUCACUAAAAUGAGUAACUUGUGUUCUUUGAAAGACUCUGUUAGAGAAGAAAACUACCAGCCAUGACUGGAAGAAAAUAUUGUGACUCACACAUGUAAUUGUCUUCCGAAGACAUCUAUGUCCCCAUCCUGCAAAUCUGUGAAAAUGUUACAUCACAAGGCAGAAGGGGGUCAGGUUGCAGACAGGAUCAAGGUUGCUCAUCAGCUGACCUUGAGAAGAGGCUGUCUAUGUGAGUCCGGGGUGAUCACAGGGACAUUUGACUGUGGACGAGGGUCAGGGUCAGGGUGGUGUGACAGGCAAAGCUGGCUGUGAGUAUGGAGCUGGGCCCCAAGGCAAGGAGGGCGAGCAGCCUCUAGAAGUUGGAGAAGGGAAGAGGACACACACUUCAAGCCUGCAGGGAACCACAACUUCAUCUUAGCCAAACAGUGAGACAUUUCAGCCUUCUAACCUGCAGAACUAAAAGGUAUGCCCUCAAAAGACAGUGACAAGCAUAUGUCCAUGCAAAGAAAUGAAUACUCAGAAUAUUUGCAGUAGUCAGAACCUAUCAUGUAAUAAUCAAAUGUCU